AUGGCUGGCUGCGCCCGUGCCCGGGGCCGCGGGAGCCCUGCCGGCAGGAGCCUGGCACAGGCGGGAACGGGAGCCCAAACGGCCAGCGAGGAAGGAAAAGCGCAGGGAGAAGAGGGCUGUUUGGCUGUGUCGUUCUCGUUAUUAUUAACAUUUCUUUUUGGCAUGAACACCAUCUGCUCACCUGAACUACGGACCGUCUUGUCUCUAGAAAUCUUUUGGUAUCUUCCCAUCCGGACGCACGCGCACACACACGCACACACACAAAAAAAAGGAAAAAUAAAAAGAGGGAAGGGAGAGCUCGGACUGCGGUCGUCCCGACCGGCGCGCGGCGGGGCCGGCCGGCGGGGGCCGAGCCGCGCGGGGCGCACGUAUUGCUUUGGGAGCGACGGGGCGGCGCGGGCGGCCGCGGGCCCCUUUCGCCGGGCGGCAUCGCUGUCACGCCGAGGCGGUGGCGCUUGGGGACCCGAGCGAGGACAGCUCACCGGACGCGCCCGCCGCGCUCGGCGUUCGCCCUCUGAGAACUUUCCACGGCUUCGGAGAUGGAGGAGGAAGAGGAGGAGGAGGAGGAGGAACCGGGCGCGGGAGCCUUUCCCUGAAUUCGAACCCGCGCCUCGGACUGGCGCGUCGCUCUCCGCUGCCCGGGCCCCGCGCCACCUUCCUGGCGUUUCACAGUAUGGGAUGGGGUGGGAAAGACGUCGCCCUCUCCACUUCCGACGGCGAGAAGAAAGCCGGGCUUGCGGCCGUGCUGCCUGGCGGUGGCGUUCGGCCAUCACCGCCUCGGUGCCGCCAGGCUCCCGGCAGGGACCGGAGCCGAUGGCAAACACAGGUUGGCUCUUCUGGUCUCCAAGUGGUUCAGCGAUGCGGCAGGGAGAGCCGGAGGCGACCUGCUUCCCAGCCAUGGAACGAAGGACCACGGCAGCGCACGCCCGUCUUCCAGGCCGCGGCAGGGGUCUCGCCCCGGUUUCUGCUGUUUUUUCCCCCAAAGCUGCCGUCCAGCUGGUGGGAGGCAGCGCCUGGGAAGGGUUCAAGGUUGCUCCUAGUGCAAAACCCCCUUGGGAAGGGGACGCGCCGGGGGGGUCCUGCCAUCGCCUUCCCUCCGAGGGGCGACGGCGGCCGGCAGAGGCGCGAGGCUCCGAGGCCGCCCAGGCUGCACGCGGCGCCGCUCAGCGGGUGUCCGGGGGAAAUCCUGGAGCUGCAUCUUCCCGAGCGGAGCAGAGCCCAGCCCGUGGCCCGUGGUCCCCACCACAAUACUGCCAGGGGGGACGGGACGGAGGGGCCUUCCUUAUGCGCCGGAGCCGAGGAUGCCGGGAAGGAAGGAGGGACAACUUCGGACAGAAAUGA
rnacentral:lncRNA from 1 species